rnacentral:rRNA from 1 species
CCUACGGGCGGCUGCAGUGGGGAAUUUUGGACAAUGGGGGCAACCCUGAUCCAGCCAUUCCGCGUGAGUGAAGAAGGCCUUCGGGUUGUAAAGCUCUUUCGGCCGGGAAGAAAUCGCAUCUCCUAAUACGGGGUGUGGAUGACGGUACCGGAAGAAGAAGCACCGGCUAACUACGUGCCAGCAGCCGCGGUAAUACGUAGGGUGCGAGCGUUAAUCGGAAUGACUGGGCGUAACGCGUGAGCAGGCGGGUGGACUCCCCGGGCUUAACCUGGGAACUGCGUUUGUGACUGGUGGGCUUGAGUGCGGAAGAGGGGGGUGGAAUUCCACGUGUAGCAGUGAAAUGCGUAGAGAUGUGGAGGAACACCGAUGGCGAAGGCAGCCCCCUGGUUCGACACUGACGCUCAUGCACGAAAGCGUGGGGAGCAAACAGGAUUAGAUACCCUUGUAGUC